rnacentral:rRNA from 1 species
UACGGAGGGAGCUAGCGUUGUUCGGAAUUACUGGGCGUAAAGCGCACGUAGGCGGCUUUGUAAGUUAGAGGUGAAAGCCCGGGGCUCAACUCCGGAACUGCCAUUGAAACUGUUUAGCUUGAGGAUGAGAGAGGUGAGUGGAAUUCCCAGUGUAGAGGUGAAAUUCGUAGAUAUUGGGAAGAACACCGGUGGCGAAGGCGGCUCACUGGCUCAUUACUGACGCUCAGGCGCGAUAGCGUGGGGAUCAAACAGG